CUGACCGGAGAGAGUUUUCCUCCUGUGAAGUCAGGUGAUCAUAUGACCAUCACAUUGCCUUCACCUUGCUCCAUGAAACCCAAGAGAAACCAUGAAAAGAAGAUUCUAGAAGUCACCAAGAAGAUGAUGGAGCUGCUGACAGGAGAGGUUCCUAUAAGGUGUCAGGAUGUCACUGU